GACGAACGCUGGCGGCGUGCCUAAUACAUGCAAGUCGAGCGGAUCUUUAGAAGCUUGCUUCUAAAGAUUAGCGGCGGACGGGUGAGUAACACGUGGGCAACCUGCCUGUAAGACUGGGAUAACACCGGGAAACCGGUGCUAAUACCGGAUAAUUCUUUCCCUCACAUGAGGGAAAGCUGAAAGUCGGUUUCGGCUGACACUUACAGAUGGGCCCGCGGCGCAUUAGCUAGUUGGUGAGGUAACGGCUCACCGAGGCGACGAUGCGUAGCCGACCUGAGAGGGUGAUCGGCCACACUGGGACUGAGACACGGCCCAGACUCCUACGGGAGGCAGCAGUAGGGAAUCUUCCGCAAUGGACGAAAGUCUGACGGAGCAACGCCGCGUGAGUGAUGAAGGCCUUCGGGUCGUAAAACUCUGUUGUUAGGGAAGAACAAGUAUCGGAGUAACUGCCGGUACCUUGACGGUACCUAACCAGAAAGCCACGGCUAACUACGUGCCAGCCGCCGCUGUAACAC
rnacentral:rRNA from 1 species